ACUUCAGCGUACAACAACACUUAUCAGCUGUUCACAAAAAUAUUGUCGGUCAUUUAUUUGCAAAUUUCAUAUUUUGUCAAUUAUUGCUAUCAACAAUCAAAAUGAAACCAGCAAUUGUAGCCGAUGAGAUGUUCCCAGAAGGCGCAGGUCCUUACAUGGACCUCGAAGAGGCUGGAGGUUCUACAGGUCUCUUGAUGGAUCUAGCAGCCAAUGAAAAAGCUGUCCAUUUAGAUUUUUUUAAUGAUUUCGAUGAUUUGUACGAUGAUGAUGACCUGCAAUAAACGGAAAGUAAUGAAGCAUUUCGAAUUUUUGGAAAUAUUAUUUAUUGAAAUAACUUUACAUAUUUCUUUUGUUUUGUCUCUCUCCCGUCGCACAUCCUAGAAAAAGAAUAAACGAAACAAAUGAAUACUCUAAAAAGAAAAAAAAAUCACAGAGUGAGUAGAUUUUUGCCUGUCUUGUACUAAACGUUAGUAUUAUUAGAUUCAUUUUUUCCCUUAUACAAUUAUUAUAAUUAUUAUCUGGAUGGUGUGGGAUUGUACCUCAUAUACAUUACAUACAAUUACAAGUUUUACUUGUUCUUCCUCGUCAUGGACAUGUUUGUUUCUCUUAUUUAUUUAUUUUUCUGCUUGGACAAAUAUUUAUUGUUUGCCUAUACAUAAAAAUACGUCAAACGAAGGAGUUCGAGCCAAAGUGACCUAUUCAAAAAUAUGUUUUCCUUUUCUUCUUUCUCUCUCUCGUUUUUCUUGGUCCUAAUGCGAACUCAAAUAAAAAAAAUCGACAACCUUCGACCGCGACUGAAAAAAAAAGAAAAGCAUCUAAGAGUUUCCUAAAUCGUUCAUCGCGAUCGUAGAUUUAAUUUUUUAAGCACUUGAUAUAUCACCUUUAUAAUUUCUUGAGGAAAAUGAAAAACUUUCCAAAAAAUAAAACGUUAUUUACACAAAUGGUACAAGGUAUAUUUACAUAAUAUAUAUUUUCUCUUCUUUUGUUUCUUCGUUCGUUACUAUGACACAUCUUUUUCUAAGCGCAUUUGAUUGGGGGGGAUUACUUUUCUGAGCAACCAGUUUCUUCCUCAUUUCCUCUACACUCAUGGUCAACACAAGAACAGUUUAACAUAUACGAUUCAUAUUACAUAAUCGAGUAAUUUCGGAGAUAUUUGAUAUUGAGCAACGACACGAUUCAAUUCAUUAUUACAUGAUAAUUUGAUGGUAAAGAAGAAUCGAUAUUGUUUUGCGUUUGCAAAAAUAAUGAGUAAAGCUGAGAAAGCAAAAGGGUGUUGUAUCAGUGUAUGUUAUACAUUGCGCGAAGGAUUAAAAUUAAUAACAGUAUAAUAUAUA